GACGAACGCUGGCGGCGUGCUUAACACAUGCAAGUCGAACGCUGAAGCUCAGCUUUUGUUGGGUGGAUGAGUGGCGAACGGGUGAGUAACACGUGAGUAACCUGCCCCCUUCUUUGGGAUAACGCCCGGAAACGGGUGCUAAUACUGGGUAUUCACUGGUCUUCGCAUGGGGGUUGGUGGAAAGGGUUUUUCUGGUGGGGGAUGGGCUCGCGGCCUAUCAGCUUGUUGGGGGGGUGAUGGCCUACCAAGGCUUUGACGGGUAGCCGGCCUGAGAGGGUGACCGGUCACAUUGGGACUGAGAUACGGCCCAGACUACUACGGGAGGCAGCAGUGGGGAAUAUUGCACAAUGGGCGCAAGCCUGAUGCAGCGACGCAGCGUGAGGGAUGGAGGCCUUCGGGUUGUGAACCUCUUUCGCUCAUGGUCAAGCCGAAACAAUGGUUGUGGUGAGGGUAGUGGGUAAAGAAGCGCCGGCUAACUACGUG
rnacentral:rRNA from 1 species